CGAUCCCAGGUCAGGCGGGGCUACCCGCU
rnacentral:rRNA from 1 species